rnacentral:rRNA from 1 species
UAAGGAAUAUUGGACAAUGGAGGCAACUCUGAUCCAGCCAUGCCGCGUGAAGGAAUAAGGCCCUAUGGGUUGUAAACUUCUUUUAGACGGGACAAAACCCCUUUACGUGUAAAGGGUUGAUGGUACUGUCAGAAUAAGCAUCGGCUAACUUCGUGCCAGCAGCCGCGGUAAUACGAAGGAUGCAAGCGUUAUCCGGAAUUAUUGGGUUUAAAGGGUGCGUAGGCGGACUAAUAAGUCAGUGGUGAAAGCCUGCAGCUUAACUGCAGAAUUGCCAUUGAUACUGUUAGUCUUGGGUACAGUUGAGGUAGGCGGAAUGUGUCAUGUAGCGGUGAAAUGCUUAGAUAUGACACAGAACACCGAUUGCGAAGGCAGCUUGCUAAGCUGUAACUGACGCUGAGGCACGAAAGCGUGGGGAGCAAACA